GCAAACUUGGUCAUUUAGAGGAAGUAAAAGUCGUAACAAGGUUUCCGUAGGUGAACCUGCGGAAGGAUCAUUACUGAGUGAGGGCCCCCCCGGGGGUCCAACCUCCCACCCGUGUUUAUCGUACCUUGUUGCUUCGGCGGGCCCGCCUCACGGCCGCCGGGGGGCCUCCGCCCCCGGGCCCGCGCCCGCCGAAGACACCAAAUCGAACCCUGCCUGAAGCAUUGCAGUCUGAGCAGAUUUAGUAAAAUCGUUAAAACUUUCAACAACGGAUCUCUUGGUUCCGGCAUCGAUGAAGAACGCAGC
rnacentral:misc_RNA from 1 species